rnacentral:rRNA from 1 species
AAUUUUGGACAAUGGGGGAAACCCUGAUCCAGCCAUCCCGCGUGUAUGAUGAAGGCCUUCGGGUUGUUUAGUACUUUUGGCAGCUAAGAAAAGGUAUCCCCUAAUACUGGAUACUGCUGACUGUAUCUGCUGAAUAAGCACCGGCUCACUACGUACCAUCAGCCGCGGUAAUACGUAGGGUGCAAGCGUUAAUCGGAAUUACUGGGCGUAAAGCGUGUGUAGGUGGUUCGGAAAGAAAGAUGUGAAAUCCAAGGGCUCAACCUUGGAACUGCAUUUUUAACUGCCGAGCUAGAGUAUGUCAGAGGGGGGUAGAAUUCCACGUGUAGCAGUGAAAUGCGUAGAUAUGUGGAGGAAUACCGAUGGCGAAGGCAGCCCCCUGGGAUAAUACUGACGCUCAGACACGAAAGCGUGGGGAGCAAACAGG